rnacentral:rRNA from 1 species
UACGGGGGGUGCAAGCGUUGUUCGGAAUUACUGGGCGUAAAGGGUGCGUAGGCGGAUGUGCAAGUCAGAUGUGAAAUUCCAGGGCUCAACCUUGGAGCGGCAUCUGAAACUGCAUAUCUAGAGGAAUGGCGGAGAAAACGGAAUUCCACAUGUAGCGGUGAAAUGCGUAGAUAUGUGGAAGAACACCUGUGGCGAAGGCGGUUUUCUAGCCUACUCCUGACGCUGAGGCACGAAAGCAAGGGGAGCAAACAGG